GUGCCAGCCGCCGCGGUAAAACGUAGGUCCCGAGCGUUGUUCGGAUUUACUGGGCGUAAAGGGCUCAUAGGCGGCUUCUUAGGUCUCACGUGAAAUUCCCUGGCUCAACCGGGGAGGGUCGUGGGAAACCGGGAGGCUAGAGGGCAGGAGAGGAGAGUGGAAUUCCCGGUGUAGCGGUGAAAUGCGUAGAGAUCGGGAGGAACACCAGUGGUGAAGACGGCUCUCUGGACUGUCCCUGACACUGAGGAGCGAAAGCCAGGGGAGCAAACCGGAUUAGAUACCCGGGUAGUCCUGGCCGUAAACGAUGGGUACUAGGUGUGGGGGGUUCGACCCCCUCCGUGCCGCAGUUAACGCAUUAAGUAUCCCACCUGGGGAGUACGGCCGCAAGGUUGAAACUCAAAUAAAUUGACGG
rnacentral:rRNA from 1 species